CCACAGCUGUGAAUAAAACACCUCAUGUCAACCUGGAUCAACAGAGUCUGCGUGAAAAUGCUCCCAGAAAUACAGUGUUCACUGCAGUC